GAUGAACGCUGGCGGCGUGCCUAAUACAUGCAAGUCGAGCGAACUGAUUAGAAGCUUGCUUCUAUGACGUUAGCGGCGGACGGGUGAGUAACACGUGGGCAACCUGCCUGUAAGACUGGGAUAACUUCGGGAAACCGAAGCUAAUACCGGAUGGAAUAUUCUCCUUCAUGGGAGAUGAUUGAAAGAUGGUUUGUGCUAUCACUUACAGAUGGGCCCGCGGUGCAUUAGCUCGGUGGUGAGAUAACGACUCAACAAGGCAACGAUGCAUAGCCGACCUGAGAGGGUGGUCGGCCACACUGGGACUGAGACACGGCCCAGACUCCUACGGGAGGCAGCAGUAGGGAAUCUUCCGCAAUGGACGAAAGUCUGACGGAGCAACGCCGCGUGAGUGAUGAAGGCCUUCGGGUCGUAAAGCUCUGUUGUUAGGGAAGAACAAGUACCGGAGUAACUGCCGGUGCCUUGACGGUACCUAACCAGAAAGCCACGGCUAACUACGUGCCAGCCGCCGCGGUAA
rnacentral:rRNA from 1 species